GUAUAUGAGGUGAUUAAUUGGAGGGCAAAUCAAGUGCCAGCAGCCGCGGUAAUACUUGUUCCAGGAGUGUGUAUGACGAUUGAUGCAGUUAAAAAGUCCGUAGUUUAUUUUUUUAAGAAGCAAUAUGAGGUGUACUGUAUAGUUGGGAGAAAGAUGAAAUGUGACGACCCUGACUGGACGAACAGAAGCGAAAGCUGUACACUUGUAUGUAUUUUUUGAACAAGGACGUAAGCUGGAGGAGCGAAGAUGAUUAGAUACCAUUGUAGUUCCAGCAGUAAACUAUGCCGACGAUGUGAUAUGAAAAUAUUAAUUUGUGUUACAUAAUAGAAAUUUGAGUUUUUUGGCUCUGGGGAUAGUAUGAUCGCAAGAUUGAAAAUUAAAGAAAUUGACGGAAGAAUACCACAAGGAGUGGAUUGUGCGGCUUAAUUUGACUCAACGCGAGGUAACUUACCAAUAUUUUAUUAUUUUGAGAGAGCGGUUUUUUGUUUGAGAAUGAUAAUAGUGGUGCAUGGCCGUUUUCAAUGGAUGCUGUGAAGUUUUGAUUAAUUUCAACAAGACGUGAGACCCUUAUUUUUUAUUAAAGACAGACACAAUCAGUGUAGGAAGGAAAGGAUUAAAGCAGGUCCGUUAUGCCCUCUGACAUUUUGGGCUGCACGCGCAAUACAAUAGAUAUA
rnacentral:rRNA from 1 species